UUAUUAGUGGCUGUCCCAGGUGAUGGGACGAUUGGGGAGAUCAAGACCAACGAUGUUCUAGCUUUCAUGGAAUUUGCAUAGACCUCAGGAUGAAACCAGGAGUCCGAAGAUGCAAAUAGCCCAGAUUCCUGAGUCACCCCAGGGAAGACAGGAACAUUGCCUUAUCUGUAUUCACUUUACACAAGCAAGAAAUAAACCACUUGUUGGGUUAAGCCACUAAAAACUUUGUUACUGGAGCACAACUUAAUCUAAGACAUAGAAUUCGAAUGUGUAGGAAGAAUUUACCAGAAAACUCAGGAGAUGACCCAGAAUGGAUUGGCACAGGACCUCGUGUAAAGCAGAUUACCCUUCACAGUGGGUGGGCCUCAUCCAAUCAGUUGAAGGC